rnacentral:misc_RNA from 1 species
UUAGUUUAUUUUAACUAUUUUCAGAUUUGACAUGGUUUUUAAGGAUUUAUUGUGGGCUACUGACGGGCACUGACCAGAGGUACACGACCCCCGGCGGUCCGGUGAAAGACGGGCCCGCCAAAGCAACAUGGUAGUUAUACAAAGGGUUGGAGAUUGGGCCUGAAAGACCCUAACUCAGUAAUGAUCCUUCCGCAGGUUCACCUAAAAGAAGAGAUAUUAGUAAAAUGUCAGAGGAAGGAAUGGAUAGUGAAAAGAAGUUUGAUUACUCACCUACGGAAA